rnacentral:ncRNA from 1 species
UUCUGAUCAUGAGCGCCAGGCCUGGCUUUGCAGACAGGUGACGAGGAACAGGGAUUAUCGAAACACUCGGCGGGUACCCUGAAGGUUGGCUUAGACCUUUGAAGUGAAUUUUAAAAACCAUUGGCAACGGUGGCGACAAAGAAAUUCACCAAGCAGGAA